CACGUAGGGUGCAAGCGUUGUUCGGAUUCACUGGGCGUAAAGGGUGCGUAGGUGGUGAGGUAAGUCGGAUGUGAAAUCUCCGGGCUCAACCCGGAAAUGGCAUUGGAAACUACCUUGCUGGAGGAUUUGAGGGGGGAUUGGAAUACUUGGUGUAGCAGUGAAAUGCGUAGAUAUCAAGUGGAACACCAGUGGCGAAGGCGAAUCCCUGGAAAAUACCUGACACUGAGGCACGAAAGCUAGGGGAGCAAACAGG
rnacentral:rRNA from 1 species